CUGCUUUAGGGAUGAAGGAGUCCCUAAUAGCUUUUAUCCAUCUAAUUCACUUUGUCAGUGGCCUGUUUGUUGGCUGAUUGAUUACUAUAGGAUGGAUAAAUG
rfam:Corchorus capsularis cultivar CVL-1 contig12923, whole genome shotgun sequence.